rnacentral:rRNA from 1 species
GGGGGGGGGGGGGGGGGGGCGGGGGGGGGGGGGGGCGGGCGGGCGGGCGGGGGGCGGGCGUGUCGGGUGUGGGCGGCGGAGGGGUGAGUGACGGGUGGAUACCCUACCUAUAGGACGGGGGUCACUUCGGGAAACCGGAGCGAAUCCCGGAGCAUAUUUUGACCCUCGUGGUUCAACGGUGACAGCGGGUCUGGCUGUACCUUAUAGAGGGCUCCGGUCUGCAUUAGCUAGUUGGUAAGGUAACGGCGUACCAAGGCACCGAUGCAUAGCCGCCGUGAGAGGGUGAUAGGCCACACUGGAACUGAGACACGGUCCAGACUCCUACGGGAGGCAGCAGUAGGGAAUCUUCCGCAAUGGGCGAAAGCCUGACGGAGCAACGCCGCGUGAGUGAUGAAGGUCUUCGGAUCGUAAAACUCUGUUAUUAGGGAAGAACAUAUGUGUAAGUAACUGUGCACAUCUUGACGGUACCUAAUCAGAAAGCCACGGCUAACUACGUG